rnacentral:rRNA from 1 species
UACGUAGGGAGCAAGCGUUGUUCGGAUUUACUGGGCGUAAAGGGCGCGUAGGCGGCGCGGUAAGUCACUUGUGAAAUCUCUGAGCUUAACUCAGAACGGCCAAGUGAUACUGCAGUGCUAGAGUGCAGAAGGGGCAAUCGGAAUUCUUGGUGUAGCGGUGAAAUGCGUAGAUACCAAGAGGAACACCUGAGGUGAAGACGGGUUGCUGGGCUGACACUGACGCUGAGGCGCGAAAGCCAGGGGAGCAAACGGG